AGACGAAAGACCCUUCUCCUGGGUGUUACCUCUGACAUCUUGCUUGUUAGAACUGGAGAGAGAAAAAAAUGGACCCCAGGAAUGGAGCUGCAGGGACCCUGGAAAAAGGGGACACCAUCACACCACCGUUGAGUUCUGUCAACUGUCAAGUUAAUUAGAACGAAAUUAAAAACACAUUUGCCAAGAUGUUCCGCAGCCAAACCAGUUAAAUAGAGAUUUUAACAAAAUUGAAAGCAUAUUAUACUGAGAUUUGUGGAUCCUGGCCCGGCUCUGAGAACUCUGGGAAUCUUACUCACCUUCCUGGGCCUUAAUUUCCUCAUCUGUCAAAUGGGAACAAUACAAGAGAUGGGCUAACACAUCACUCCCUGAGGCCUGGCCUAUGCAAGGGACCGAGGAUGCUAGAGUCUGAGCCCUGUGGAAGCUUGGAGUUCAACCAGCAGAGGCAAGGCCCUCCCUCCAGCGCUGCCAGACAAAUGAGGAAUCAGUGCAGGAACCAGGCUGUCCGACAGAGAGACGAGAACAUCCAAUGCUGCCUGACAGGAAGCCUUCCUGGAGGAGGUGGUGUCUGACUUGGCACUGAAAGGUGAAAAGGAGUUUUGGGGGAGUAGCAGACUGCAAUACCAUCACCUCGAUUUUGCACAAAUGCACGGCGACCCUCACAAUUCUCAAGCCCACCAUUGGCCGGCUGGACCCCAGGUUUCCUUCAUUUGGUCCUUCUGUUUGGGACACUCACCCUCACCCUCUGAUUGUGGGCUUCCCUGUCCCACAAGGCUCAGCGAAAUGCCAGCUUGGCCGAGCUGCUGUUUCCCAGGUGGAAGUGACCACAUCCUCUCAGACCUUCUGCACCUCGUGCUGGGGAACAAGUGAUUGAAUGAAUGAAUGAAUGAAUGUAAAUUGCCUGACAGCAACGGCUUCAGAGGAAAACUGGACCAGACUGAGGAGGCACUGGAUGCUGUCUGCCCAGUCUCCUUGGAUCAUUGUAUUAUUGAUGUGGUUUUUUUGCUUGAGGAAAGAUUAUUUUGUGCUGCAGUUACCACAGAAGAUUACAGUGAAACCAAACGAACAAGUAAGUAAAACCCUGGCUCCUAUGAAGGACAGAGGUCACUGGCCGGGAGUAGGACAUCCACACUCUGAUGAUUCCUCUUCCAGUUUGGGGACCCUAUGGCACAUGCAUGACACAGAGGGUGACCCCUUGGACAGAGUUCCCCAUGAUGCAGAGGGGCUGGAGUGUGAGUGCCCCAUGCUCUCAUCUGGAGAAGGUACCAGGGCUGCAGAGUCUGCAAGGUG
rnacentral:lncRNA from 1 species